rnacentral:tRNA from 1 species
GGUGCUGUGGCAUAGCGGGUAAAGCCACCGCCUGCAGUGCCGUCAUCCCAUAUGUGCGUUGGUUCAAGUCCCGCCUGCUCCA